rnacentral:tRNA from 1 species
GCUAUGGCUCAGUUGGUAGAGCGCACCCUUGGUAAGGGUGAGGUCCCCAGUUCGACUCUGGGUAUCAGCACCA